GAUGAACGCUGGCGGCGUGCCUAAUACAUGCAAGUCGAGCGAAUGGAUUGAGAGCUUGCUCUUAUGAAGUUAGCGGCGGACGGGUGAGUAACACGUGGGUAACCUGCCCAUAAGACUGGGAUAACUCCGGGAAACCGGGGCUAAUACCGGAUAACAUUUUGAACCGCAUGGUUCGAAAUUGAAAGGCAGCUUCGGCUGUCACUUAUGGAUGGACCCGCGUCGCAUUAGAUAGUUGGUGAGGUAACGGCUCACCAAGGCAAAGAUGCGUAGCCGACCUUGGAGGGUGAUCGGCCACCCUGGGACUGAGACACGGCCCAGGCUCCGACGGGAGGCAGCAGUAGGGAAUCUUCCGCAAUGGACGAAAGUCUGACGGAGCAACGCCGCGUGAGUGAUGAAGGCUUUCGGGUCGUAAAACUCUGUUGUUAGGGAAGAACAAGUGCUAGUUGAAUAAGCUGGCACCUUGACGGUACCUAACCAGAAAGCCACGGCUAACUACGUGCCAGCAGCCGCCGUAA
rnacentral:rRNA from 1 species